GACGAACGCUGGCGGCGUGCCUAAUACAUGCAAGUCGAACGCUUCUUUCCUCCCGAGUGCUUGCACUCAAUUGGAAAGAGGAGUGGCGGACGGGUGAGUAACACGUGGGUAACCUACCCAUCAGAGGGGGAUAACACUUGGAAACAGGUGCUAAUACCGCAUAACAGUUUAUGCCGCAUGGCAUAAGAGUGAAGGGCGCUUUCGGGUGUCGCUGAUGGAUGGACCCGCGGUGCAUUAGCUAGUUGGUGAGGUAACGGCUCACCAAGGCCACGAUGCAUAGCCGACCUGAGAGGGUGAUCGGCCACACUGGGACUGAGACACGGCCCAGACGCCUACGGGAGGCAGCAGUAGGGAAUCUUCGGCAAUGGACGAAAGUCUGACCGAGCAACGCCGCGUGAGUGAAGAAGGUUUUCGGAUCGUAAAACUCUGUUGUUAGAGAAGAACAAGGACGUUAGUAACUGAACGUCCCCUGACGGGAUCUAACCAGAAAGCCACGGCUAACUACGU
rnacentral:rRNA from 1 species